rnacentral:tRNA from 1 species
UCCCUGGUGGCUCAGUUGGUAAAGAAUUUGCCUGCAAUGCAAGAGACCCGGGUUCAAUCCCCGGGUCGUGAA